rnacentral:rRNA from 1 species
AGUGAACGCUGGCGGUAGGCCUAACACAUGCAAGUCGAACGAGUGGCGGACGGGUGAGGAAUACAUCGGAAUCUACUCUGUCGUGGGGGAUAACGUAGGGAAACUUACGCUAAUACCGCAUACGAUUGAAUGAGCCGAUGUCGGCGUAGCUAGUUGGCGGGGUAAAGGCCCACCAAGGCGACGAUCCGUAGCUGGUCUGAGAGGAUGAUCAGCAACACUGGAACGGAGCCAGGGUCCAGACUCCUACGGGAGUCAGCAGGGGGGAAGAUUGCACAAGGGGGGCAAGCCGGAGGCAGCCAUGCCGCGGGUAUGAAGAAGGCUGUCGGGUGGUAAAGUACUUUCAGCGGGGAGGCGUUACCCGCAGAAGAAGCACCGGCUAACUCCGUGCCAGCAGCCGCGGUAAUUC